ensembl:ncRNA lncRNA:CR43494 long non-coding RNA:CR43494
CGAGCUCGGGUAUCAGAGACAAGAGUGCAGUGUGGCAGGCAAGGGGGGCAGGGGAGCCCCACGGACCUCGAUGGACACGGGUUGCCUCAGGUGGGACAAGAGCCAUUUGCAUUUAAUGCGCCACAUUUGUUUGUGCCUGUUCGCGUGGCCAACUCGACGGAAAGAUGGCUGCGAAUAAUGUUGAGGACUCAGUCCACGGAUCAAGGAUGAGGAAUGAGGCUGGCCAGUGGGCCACGGAGCCUCAGAUAGAGGGUGCCAAAACUCAAUUGAUACCUUCUCGACCCCCUCCUAAUCAGCUUUAACUAAUUGUCCAUCAUAUUACGUCGAUAUCUCAUUAGGCGAUUCCAAUCGACCAAUAUCGCACUGUUGGCUAUUUUUAGAGCUGCGUGCUGCUAAAUGUGGGCGUGAAAAAAUGAAAAGCGGCGAAAAUUACUUAAUAGCCAAUAAUCUUUUGUUAUAUUUAUUCGCAAAUAAAGCGCUAAAUCAGCAUAACAACUG